rnacentral:rRNA from 1 species
UGGAUUAGGCAUGCAAGUCGGACGGUAGGGCUUUAUCGUAAGAUAGAGUUUGAGAGUGGCGAACGGGUGAGUAACACGUAGGAAUCUACCCUUAAGACGGGGACAACCCAGGGAAACUUGGGCUAAUACCGGAUGAGAGUGCGAGAGAUUGCAUUUAAAAGGAUGGCGAAAGUUGUCGCUUAGGGAUGAGCCUGCGGUCUAUUAGUUAGUUGGUGAGGUAAGAGCUCACCAAGGCGAUGAUAGAUAGGCGGCCUUAACGGGUGGUCGCCCACACUGGGAUUGAGAUACGGCCCAGACUCCUACGGGAGGCAGCAGUCGAGAAUAGUCUACAAUGGCCGGAAGGCUGAUAGUGCGACGCCGCGUGAACGAGGGAGCCCUUCGGGGUGUAAAGUUCUUUUCUAUACGAGCAGUGCUAUAUAUAUGGAUAGUAUAUAUAGAGGGAUAGUAGUAUAGGAAUAAGCAACGGCUAACUCCGUGCCAGCAGCCGCGGUAACACGGGGGUUGCGAGCGUUGUCCGGAAUUACUAGGCGUAAAGGGCAGGUAGGCGGAUCUACGAGUUUUUUGUUAAAGGCUACGGCUCAACUGUAGUAGAGCAGGAGAUACUGUAGGUCUGGAAUGCGGUAGGGGAAGACAGAAUUCCUGGUGUAGCGGUGGAAUGCGCAGAGAUCAGGAGGAAUACCGAAGGCGAAGGCAGUCUUCUAGGCCGUAAUUGACGCUUAACUGCGAAGGUGUGGGGAUCAAACAGGAUUAGAUACCCUGGUAGUCCACACAGUAAACGAUAAUCACUAGAUGUCGGGUUCUAGAUGGAUUCGGUGUCGGAGCCAACGCGAUAAGUGAUUCGCCUGGGGAGUACGAUCGCAAGGUUGAAACUCAAAUGAAUUGACGG